CUGGCCCCCGUGCCCCAGUGGGAAGGGGAUGGGGGAAAGGGAGAGAGGCUGUUUCUGCUAACCGCUCCACCGACCUUCCUUCUGGGUAAAUAUCUCCAUAUGUUAACAAAUGCUAAUUAAAACCAAAAGCACAGACGAGCUCUCAGGAUGUGUGUGUAACAGGAGCACCCCAGGAUCCUGCACUGCUGUAAUCUUUCUCCUCCCAAUGGAUCUCACCUUUUAUUUGGUGUUGCACCUCCCUGACUGAUAUUUAACCUUGCUCCUGGUGCUCUUUGUUGGAGUUUUGCCAUGCAUACAAUACUGCUCUGAUGGGUGUCUACAGAUACCUGAGGGGCGAGCCCAGGUGUUUUGCUGGUCAAGAGGGAAAAUAUGUUUAUUUGCAGCAUGCCUUGCAGUCAUGUAAGUAACUGUGCUCAUCAAUCAGGAAUUUUAGGAGAAGGGACUCUGGAAAAGCCCUGUCUCUUUUGGCUUCAAGGUGGCCACCACCCUUUCUGUGGACUGGGAUAACUCUGAGCAUGAUCAUUUCUAUUGGACAAAGGUGUCAUGGUUAAAAAAAAAAAAAGAAAAAGUAUGACUAUGUGUAAUACCCUAAAGAUAAUAAUAAAUAAACACCAGUUUGCCUUGAGGUGAAGUGGAAUUUUCAGAAGUGGGUUUUCGAAACACCUGUUUGUAUAAGGGCUAGAGUAUCUCCAGGGAAGGCUGUGCAUUGGAGCUGUUGUGCUGGUAUUAGAGUGACAUUUCAAAAGUGAUGGAUAGGAUUUAGAAUCCGAUUACUGUGAUGUCAAUAAUGGCAGUUGCACUGUUGCAAGGUGUAGGGAUAAAUGUGUUAUGCAUUCUUAACGUAUCAUAUAGCCAAAACUUUUUGGGGAAAAUUGAAGUAUACAUGAUGAGUUUCUUGAGACACCCUAGCAUUUCACAAGGGGGUCCAUGCAUUAAUUAGUAAAUCACUGAUGUGCUGUCUUUUACUCAAAAGCCUAAGGAUUUAUAAGGGUUUUUUAAUUGUCAUUGUUGCACUCGAUGGUGCUGGCAUAUGUGUUUGUAUUAGAAAUAGACCCAGGAGACUUGCAAACAAUUUAUGCUGCUGGUGUAACAAAGUUUUCACAGCCUUUCAGUGUUGCUGAAGUAUUUAGUUUGGAUACAUUUAUGGAGAUUGCCAUCUAUUACUCCAGGUCUAGCUAGCUUUUGUCUCAAGUGACACUUAUUUUGAGCAAAUUAGCACUGAAGCCAAAUUUGUUUUGUUGUGAU
rnacentral:lncRNA from 1 species